GUGAGGAAUAUUGGUCAAUGGGCGGGAGCCUGAACCAGCCAAGUCGCGUGAAGGAAGAAGGAUCUAUGGUUCGUAAACUUCUUUUGCAGGGGAAUAAAGUGCAGGACGUGUCCUGUUUUGUAUGUACCCUGAGAAUAAGGAUCGGCUAACUCCGUGCCAGCAGCCGCGGUAAUACGGAGGAUCCGAGCGUUAUCCGGAUUUAUUGGGUUUAAAGGGUGCGUAGGUGGUUUGAUAAGUCAGCGGUGAAAGUUUGAAGCUUAACUGUAAAAAUGCCGUUGAAACUGUCGGACUUGAGUGUAAAUGAGGUAGGCGGAAUGCGUGGUGUAGCGGUGAAAUGCAUAGAUAUCACGCAGAACUCCGAUUGCGAAGGCAGCUUACUAAGCUACAACUGACACUGAAGCACGAAAGCGUGGGGAUCAAACAGGAUUAGAAACCCUAGUAGUCC
rnacentral:rRNA from 1 species